GUGAAGCAUAUACAGCUGGUUUCAAGUUAAAGGUUGUGGAAUAUGCCAAGCAACAUGGAAAUAGGGCUGCAGCAAGGCAUUUUGGAGAGCCACCAACAGAAUGCACAAUACGAGAGUGGGGUAAAAUGGAAGAAAAACUCAAGACAUUAUCAAAAACAAAAUGCAAUUUUCGCAGCGGUAUUGCUAAAUGGCCAAAAUUAGAAGAACGGGUGAAGGAAUUUGUACUUAAUCAUAGAAAAGCGGGCAUUGCAUUAUCAACAAAAAUGAUCAUCAUUCAAGCAGUGAAAAUCAGCAAAGAGUUGCAAAUACAAGAUUUCAAAG